GUGCUUGUAGCUCAGUGGAUAGAGCACUGGCCUCCGAAGCCAGGUGUCGCAGGUUCGACUCCUGCCAGGCACGCUA
rnacentral:tRNA from 1 species